rnacentral:rRNA from 1 species
UACGUAGGGUCCGAGCGUUGUCCGGAAUUAAUGGGCGUAAAGAGCUCGUAGGUGGUUUGUCGCGUUGUUCGUGAAAACUCACAGCUCAACUGUGGGCGUGCGGGCGAUACGGGCAGACUGGAGUACUGCAGGGGAGACUGGAAUUCCUGGUGUAGCGGUGGAAUGCGUAGAGAUCGGCAGGAACACCCAGGGGGAAACCAGUGGACUGGCACGGUGCUGACGCUCAGGUGCGAAAGCGUGGGGAGCGAACCGG